AUGAACGCUGGCGGCGUGCCUAAUACAUGCAAGUCGAGCGAACAGAUGAGGAGCUUGCUCCUCUGACGUUAGCGGCGGACGGGUGAGUAACACGUGGAUAACCUACCUAUAAGACUGGGAUAACUUCGGGAAACCGGAGCUAAUACCGGAUAAUAUAUUGAACCGCAUGGUUCAAUAGUGAAAGACGGUUUUGCUGUCACUUAUAGAUGGAUCUGCGCCGCAUUAGCUAGUUGGUAAGGUAACGGCUUACCAAGGCAACGAUGCGUAGCCGACCUGAGAGGGUGAUCGGCCACACUGGAACUGAGACACGGUCCAGACUCCUACGGGAGGCAGCAGUAGGGAAUCUUCCGCAAUGGGCGAAAGCCUGACGGAGCAACGCCGCGUGAGUGAUGAAGGUCUUCGGAUCGUAAAACUCUGUUAUUAGGGAAGAACAAAUGUGUAAGUAACUAUGCACGUCUUGACGGUACCUAAUCAGAAAGCCACGGCUAACUACGUG
rnacentral:rRNA from 1 species